GUCCCCGCGAAGCGGCCCGGGCCGGGGCGGCGGGAGGCGGUGCUCGCAGGGACAGCUGGGUGGGCCCCGCGCACCAGCGCGUCUUCUCCGCGGACGCCUGAGGCGGCCUCGCCCGCCCGCCCCGCGUUCCUGACCGCGCGCCCGAGCAAGAGCCGGGGCGCUCCGGCGCCCUGGUCCCUCCGCGAUGCUGCCUGGCAUUGUACAGAGAUGUAUCCAGUACAGCUAUAAGGAGAAGCAGACAAGACGGCAGAUGGGCAGGCUUUAGCCACUAAGGAGGGAAGGAAACCCCCGCCCGCCCAGCAGGAGGGAAAGGUGCUUUGCUGCAUUGUCACCGUUGCAAGAAGGAGAAGGACUGUGUGGAUCCCCAGUUGCCUCCAGGUUUUUGUAAGUCCCUUGAGUCCAGCUGUGGUCAUGCCCCUCUUGCCUGUUUAAUGCUUUCAGCCAGCUCUACCCCUGUAAUCCCUGAGGGGCUGCUGAGUUCAGGGGAGCCAAACCCAUUUGAU